CGGACGGGUGAGUAACGCGUGGGUAACCUGCCUCAUACAGGGGGAUAACAGCUGGAAACGGCUGCUAAUACCGCAUAAGCGCACAGAGCUGCAUGGCUCGGUGUGAAAAACUCCGGUGGUAUGGGAUGGGCCCGCGUCUGACUAGGUAGUUGGUGGGGUGACGGCCUACCAAGCCGACGAUCAGUAGCCGACCUGAGAGGGUGACCGGCCACAUUGGGACUGAGACACGGCCCAA
rnacentral:rRNA from 1 species